AGCAAGCUCCAGGAGUUGGUGAAGGACAGGGAAGCCUGGUGUGCCACAGUCCAUGGGGCUGCAAAGAGCUGGAUACAACUGAGCGACUGAACUGAACUGAAACACCCAAAUGUCUAUCAACAGGAGCUUGCAAAAACACAUUUUAGUUAAGUUCAUACUAACAGAUAGCUCUCAACCAUAAAAGCAGAUGAACUACUGCUGUCCAUGAAACACAAAAGUCAACAUUAUCAUUCUGAAUAAAUGAAGCCAAACACGAAAGAGUAAAAAUUAUAUAUUCUACUUGUAGGAAGUUCAGAACUAAUCUAUAGUUUUAGAAGUGGUUAUCUCUGGGGGGGAGCGGGGGGAACUGUCAUUGACCACGAUGGGCACUGAAAUUGACUUCUGGAAGACUCUGAUCUUGGGGUUGGUAAUACAGGUAUAGGACAGGUAAAAUUAAUAUUUGUGCAUUCUGUUGUAUGUAAAUUAUACCUCCAUUUUUAAAAAUUGAAAUUUCCUUAAAAAAAAAAAAAACCCAGAGGCUAACAUUUCAAAAAUAAUGUGCCACCCUGGUGCCAUGAAGAGGUAAGUACACAGCACUCAGCCCAGGAGAGGCAGUGACCACACCAAAGGAAAGAGAGCUGUGUGCCUGAUGAUACCGUUUGGCCUCCUAGAUCCAGCGCACCUGAAGCCUAACCUGGACUUUUCAUUUUUAUGAGGAGACAGCUAUCUAUCAGCCAUGGGGAGAGGUCUCACCAGAAUCCAAUCAGGCUAGCACCUUGACCUCAGAGUUCAGCCUCCAGAACUGACAGAAGGGACUCUCAUACUGGGGACAUCACUGUUGUCUGAGACAGCCCUGCCCGGAAUUCUUCUGAUGGCACCGAAAAGAAGACACAGCUGGCCUUUGAAAUCUGGUGUGCACUCGACACAGCACUUCUCAGCUCGGAUGGGCCACACGACAAGUGCUCAGCAUCCACUGUGGCUGCUGGUAGCCGUCCUGGACGGCACGGCUCUAAGUCAACCGAAAGUUUGCAGGAAAUUCAGAGAGCAAAGGAACACGGGGCGCAACACCACGCUGAUGUAAGCAACAGACUCCAGACACUCUGGGUUUCUGGAAAUCUACAGGAAAACCAAUGCAGCUUUUUUUUUUUUCUUUUUCUUUAAAGAAAUACAUCAUAAAGGGGAAAAUAAUGGAGAGAGAAGCCAUAAUUGCUUUCAAAGCAGAAACAGAGGCACACAGAACAAACGUAUAGACACCAAAUGGGAAAAUGGGAGGCAGGAUGAAUUGGGAGAUUGGUGUUGACAUAUAUACACUACUAUGUAUAAGAUAGGUAACUAAUGAGAACCUACCGUUCGGCACAGGGAACUCAACGCUCUGUCGUGAUCUAAAUGGGAAGG